CAAAACCCAAGCUUAUCCGAGUCUUGGCCCGGAGCCCGGUACCCCCAGAGUCCUCAGUGGGAUCCCAGCCCUGCUCUCUAGGAAAGUUUGUUUUAGGAAUCUUCACAAUCACAUAUGGGGUGAAGUCUUCCAUGGCAGCGUUCCCAUGUUGUUCCAUGGGCCCAGGAUUCCAUCUGUGGCUUUUAAGGAGCAACAACCCAACACCUUGAGUUGCAUUCAAAUAUAAAGAAGGAGCAGAUCUGUUACAGAGCAUAAAUACAGCAGCUGUUAUGGCCAAGCUGGCCAACUAAA